rnacentral:rRNA from 1 species
CUACGUAGGGAGCGAGCGUUGUCCGGAAUUACUGGGCGUAAAGGGCGCGUAGGCGGCGCUUCAAGUCGUCUGUCAAAUGGAAGGGCUUAACCCUUAUUCGCAGACGAAACUGGAGAGCUUGAGAAGCAGAGAGGCAAACAGAAUUCCUGGUGUAGCGGUGAAAUGCGUAGAUAUCAGGAAGAAUACCAGUGGCGAAGGCGGUUUGCUGGCUGCAUACUGACGCUGAAGCGCGAAAGCCAGGGGAGCGAACGGGAUUAGAUACCUCGGUAGUCCUGGCAGUAAACGAUGUAUGCUGGGUGUGAGACUAGCGAUAGUUUCGUGCCGAAGUUAACGCGAUAAGCAUACCGCCUGGGGAGUACGGUCGCAAGAUUGAAACUUAAAGGAAUCGGCGGGG